rnacentral:rRNA from 1 species
AGUGAACGCUGGCGGUAGGCCUAACACAUGCAAGUCGAACGGCAGCACAGUAAGAGCUUGCUCUUACGGGUGGCGAGUGGCGGACGGGUGAGGAAUACAUCGGAAUCUACUUUUUCGUGGGGGAUAACGUAGGGAAACUUACGCUAAUACCGCAUACGACCUACGGGUGAAAGCAGGGGAUCUUCGGACCUUGCGCGAUUGAAUGAGCCGAUGUCGGAUUAGCUAGUUGGCGGGGUAAAGGCCCACCAAGGCGACGAUCCGUAGCUGGUCUGAGAGGAUGAUCAGCCACACUGGAACUGAGACACGGUCCAGACUCCUACGGGAGGCAGCAGUGGGGAAUAUUGGACAAUGGGCGCAAGCCUGAUCCAGCAAUACCGCGUGGGUGAAGAAGGCCUUCGGGUUGUAAAGCCCUUUUGUUGGGAAAGAAAAGCAGCAGGUUAAUACCCCGCUGUUCUGACGGUACCCAAAGAAUAAGCACCGGCUAACUUCGUG